CAUCCUCCAAGGCUAAAUACUCCUGACUGACCGAUAGUGAACCAGUACCGUGAGGGAAAGGCGAAAAGAACCCCGGCGAGGGGAGUGAAAAAGAACCUGAAACCGUGUACGUACAAGCAGUGGGAGCACAGGUUUACCUGUGUGACUGCGUACCUUUUGUAUAAUGGGUCAGCGACUUAUAUUCUGUAGCAAGGUUAACCGUAUAGGGGAGCCGUAGGGAAACCGAGUCUUAACCGGGCGUUAAGUUGCAGGGUAUAGACCCGAAACCCGGUGAUCUAGCCAUGGGCAGGUUGAAGGUUGGGUAACACUAACUGGAGGACCGAACCGACUAAUGUUGAAAAAUUAGCGGAUGACCUGUGGCUGGGGGUGAAAGGCCAAUCAAACCGGGAGAUAGCUGGUUCUCCCCGAAAGCUAUUUAGGUAGCGCCUCGUGAAUUCAUCUCCGGGGGUAGAGCACUGUUUCGGCUAGGGGGCCAUCCCGGCUUACCAACCCGAUGCAAACUGCGAAUACCGGAGAAUGUUAUCACGGGAGACACACGGCGGGUGCUAACGUCCGUCGUGAAGAGGGAAACAACCCAGACCGCCAGCUAAGGUCCCAAAGUCAUGGUUAAGUGGGAAACGAUGUGGGAAGGCCCAGACAGCCAGGAUGUUGGCUUAGAAGCAGCCAUCAUUUAAAGAAAGCGUAAUAGCUCACUGGUCGAGUCGGCCUGCGCGGAAGAUGUAACGGGGCUAAACCAUGCACCGAAGCUGCGGCAGCGACGCUGUGCGUUGUUGGGUAGGGGAGCGUUCUGUAAGCCUGUGAAGGUGGCCUGUGAGGGUUGCUGGAGGUAUCAGAAGUGCGAAUGCUGACAUAAGUAACGAUAAAGCGGGUGAAAAGCCCGCUCGCCGGAAGACCAAGGGUUCCUGUCCAACGUUAAUCGGGGCAGG
rnacentral:rRNA from 1 species